UACCAGCACCCCGAGUGGUCGGGACGAUUAUUGGGCCUAAAGCAUCCGUAGCCGGUUCUACAAGUCUUCCGUUAAAUCCACCUGCUUAACAGAUGGGCUGCGGAGGAUACUAUGGAGCUAGGAGGCGGGAGAGGCAAGCGGUACUUAGUGGGUGGAGGUAAAAUCCGUUGAUCCAUUGAAGACCACCAGUGGCGAAGGCGGCUUGCCAGAACGCACUCGACAGGUGAGGA
rnacentral:rRNA from 1 species